UGGAGGCAGCAGUGGGGAAUCUUGCGCAAUGGCCGAAAGGCUGACGCAGCGACGCCGCGUGUGGGAGGAAGCUCUUCGGGGUGUAAACCACUGUUGCCCGGGACGAACAGCACUAUUCGUAGUGCCUGACGGUACCGGGUGAGGAAGCACCGGCUAACUCUGUGCCAGCAGCCGCGGUAAUACAGAGGGUGCGAGCGUUGUCCGGAAUCACUGGGCGUAAAGGGCGCGUAGGUGGUGGCUUAAGCGUGCGGUGAAAGCUCGGAGCUCAACUCCGAGUCGGCCGUGCGAACUGGGCUCACUGGAGCAUAGUAGAGGCAGGUGGAAUUCCGGGUGUAGCGGUGGAAUGCGUAGAGAUCCGGAAGAACACCGGUGGCGAAGGCGGCCUGCUGGGCUAUGGCUGACACUGAGGCGCGACAGCGUGGGGAGCAAACAGGAUUAGAUACCCUAGUAU
rnacentral:rRNA from 1 species